AUGGAUUUUUUUCUUGCAUGUAUGUUUGUGUGCUGCAUGCAUGCAGUAACAAUGGAAAACAGAAGAGGACAUUGGAUUCUCUGGACCUGGAGUUACAGGUAGAGUUCCCUGCCCCAUGCAACGUAUGUGUAGGAGGGAAGCUUCCAAUCGUUCUGAAGAUGAGUGACAGCAAGACGACUACUGAUCCUCAGGAAUGUUUUCACAGAACAGGCGGUUAUUUUGUUUCUUUGUAUUUCUCACAAUAUUCAUUUCAUCGCUUUGAUAACUGGCUAGAUGUGAGUUGAUUAAGAACAAGAUGACGAGUAAGAAAGGAAAGGUGGAAAGAAGGAAGGAUCAGAGAAGGCCAGAGUUCUCCAGAACCUGCUGCAGAAAGCUGGUGACCAUCUUAUACCUCCAAGGGCUUUCAACCCUAGCAACACAUGCAUAGGACAAUGACAUCAACUGUUAGAGAUUCCAAAGAAACUAAUAAAAGAGUCAACAGAAGGUGGUACUUUCACAAGUUACAGAAGACAUACUCCAUACCAUGUUUUCUGACACCCCCCCCUGCAUGUGUGUGAGUGUGUGCGCGUGUGUGUGUGCAUGUGUGUAUUAAAGCACCUAACUCACA